rnacentral:lncRNA from 1 species
GGGUUAAGGUGAACUCAUCAAAUCCAACAUCAGUCAUAUGAAUCAAUCGAUCGAUCCAAGUUCGAUGUGAAACCUUAAUGGAAAACUCUUUUCCAUUAUUUCACUCUACCAUGGCCAUGGGCUUAAGGACUCAAUCUUUUGAUCAUCAUAGGACUACUCCUUUUAUCUACCGAGGUUGAUAGAUCCCAUCUUGGUGCAAUCUGGUUCCUACAAUGAAUAUGCUACAGCCAAUAUACACCUCAGGGUUCUGAAUGGCUA